AGAUUGAACGCUGGCGGCAGGCCUAACACAUGCAAGUCGAGCGGUAGAGAGGUGCUUGCAUCUCUUGAGAGCGGCGGACGGGUGAGUAAUGCCUAGGAAUCUGCCUAGUGGUGGGGGAUAACGUUCGGAAACGGACGCUAAUACCGCAUACGUCCUACGGGAGAAAGCGGGGGACCUUCGGGCCUCGCGCCAUUAGAUGAGCCUAGGUCGGAUUAGCUAGUUGGUGAGGUAAUGGCUCACCAAGGCGACGAUCCGUAACUGGUCUGAGAGGAUGAUCAGUCACACUGGAACUGAGACACGGUCCAGACUCCUACGGGAGCAGCAGUGGGAAUAUUGG
rnacentral:rRNA from 1 species